GGGGAUGUAGCUCAGUUGGGAGAGCGCGAGCAUGGCAUGUUCGAGGUCGCAGGUUCGAUCCCUGUCAUCUCCACCA
rnacentral:tRNA from 1 species